GCCUUCUUAGUGUAGUGGUCAGCACACUCGGCUCGUAUUCAAGAGGUCCGUGGUUCGAAUCUCGGCGACGCCA
rnacentral:tRNA from 1 species